rnacentral:lncRNA from 1 species
UUUGAAUAAAAUUCAAUCAUACUAUAUUUACCACAAAUACCAAAUUUAAUAUUUGAAAUCUGUUUUUGUGGUCAAUCUUCAAGAUCUAAAAUUUAAAUAAAAAUAGAAAAGUAUUUUCCUUUCUGUAAAAUUUAUAUAAUUCUUCUCGAUCUUUUUUUCCCAUAUAUAGUGCAUUUAUCAUUUCACAUUGCUCAAUUCUCUCUCACCCUAUGGUAAAUAUAUAAAAUUUGACCUAUUAUAUAGCCUCCCCAUCAGUUAUUAUCAUUUCUUCAUCUCU